rnacentral:rRNA from 1 species
UACGUAGGGCGCAAGCGUUAUCCGGAAUUAUUGGGCGUAAAGAGCUCGUAGGCGGCUUGUCGCGUCGACCGUGAAAACUUGGGGCUCAACCCCAAGCCUGCGGUCGAUACGGGCAGGCUCGAGUUCGGUAGGGGAGACUGGAAUUCCUGGUGUAGCGGUGAAAUGCGCAGAUAUCAGGAGGAACACCGAUGGCGAAGGCAGGUCUCUGGGCCGAUACUGACGCUGAGGAGCGAAAGCGUGGGGAGCGAACAGG